rnacentral:rRNA from 1 species
CACGGAUCCAGAGUUUGAUCAUGGCUCAGGAUGAACGCUGGCGGCGUGCCUAACACAUGCAAGUCGAACGAAGCACAGGAGACGGAGAUUCGUCGAAGCCUUCUGUGACUUAGUGGCGGACGGGUGAGUAAUGUGUGAGCAACCUGCCUUUCAGAGGGGGACAACAGUUGGAAACGACUGCUAAUACCGCAUAAUGUAUUUGGACGGCAUCGUCCGGAUACCAAAGGAGCAAUCCGCUGAAAGAUGGGCUCACAUCUGAUUAGCUAGUUGGUGGGGUAACGGCUCACCAAGGCUGCGAUCAGUAGCCGGACUGAGAGGUUGAACGGCCACAUUGGGACUGAGAUACGGCCCAGACUCCUACGGGAGGCAGCAGUGGGGAAUAUUGCGCAAUGGAGGAAACUCUGACGCAGCGACGCCGCGUGAGGGAAGAAGGUUUUCGAAUUGUAAACCUCUGUUCUCAGGGAAGAUAAUGACGGUACCUGAGGAGUAAGCCCCGGCUAACUACGUGCCAGCAGCCGCGGUAAUACGUAGGAUGCAAGCGUUAUCCGGAUUUAUUGGGUUUAAAGGGUGCGUAGGCGGAGUCUUAAGCGUGAGGUGAAAUGCCACUGCUCAACAGUGGAACUGCCUCGCGAACUGGGGUUCUGGAAUGCCCCUGCCGUGGGAGGAAUGUGUGGUGUAGCGGUGAAAUGCAUAGAGAUCACACAGAACACCGAUUGCGAAGGCAUCUCACGAAGGGGUGAUUGACGCUGAGGCACGAAAGCGUGGGGAUCAAACAGGAUUAGAUACCCUGGUAGUCCACGCAGUAAACGAUGAUGGCUAACCGCUGGGUCGUUGUGAUUCAGUGGCCAAGCGAAAGCGAUAAGCCAUCCACCUGGGGAGUACGACCGCAAGGUUGAAACUCAAAGGAAUUGACGGGGGCCCGCACAAGCGGAGGAACAUGUGGUUUAAUUCGAUGAUACGCGAGGAACCUUACCCGGGCUCGAACGGCAGAGGAAGGAUGCGGAGACGCAAACGCCCUUCGGGGCUUCUGUCGAGGUGCUGCAUGGUUGUCGUCAGCUCGUGCCGUGAGGUGUCGGCUUAAGUGCCAUAACGAGCGCAACCCUUGCCGUCAGUUACCAGCACGUAGUGGUGGGGACUCUGGCGGGACUGCCACCGCAAGGUGAGAGGAAGGGGGGGAUGACGUCAAAUCAGCACGGCCCUUACGUCCGGGGCGACACACGUGUUACAAUGGUGGGUACAGAAGGAAGCUACCUGGCGACAGGAUGCAGAUCUUUAAAACCCAUCUCAGUUCGGAUCGGAGUCUGCAACCCGACUCCGUGAAGCUGGAUUCGCUAGUAAUCGCGCAUCAGCCAUGGCGCGGUGAAUACGUUCCCGGGCCUUGUACACACCGCCCGUCAAGCCAUGAAAGCCGGGGGCGCCUGAAGACCGUGACCGCGAGGAGCGGCCUAGGGCGAAACUGGUAAUUGGGGCUAAGUCGUAACAAGGUAGCCGUAAGCUUCAC